GGAAGCGUGUGCUAGUGAUUGCACAACUGAACAUCGAUCGCUAACGUAUAGCAUUAUGGCAGAUCUGCUCAGUGGGUGUUAUCACGUUGUCGUAAGCUUCAAGUAGCUUCUGUAUCAGAGACUCCCGAUUGCGCAUGCAUCUUCGUGGCUCGUUUACGACCUCGGAUUUGCACGCCUGCACGGUCGAGUCUUCACGUCGCUCCUCGAAGUACCGCGAUUUCCAAAUUGGGGGGCAAUCGAAUAGGUCAGACGAGGUAAUUUGUCGCUUCCAUAUACAGGCACCGCAGAUCGCGGUACGCCAUUUUUUGUA
rnacentral:snRNA from 1 species